rnacentral:lncRNA from 1 species
UUAAAAGCAUUUUCUCUUGUCGGAGAAACCCAGGAACGUGAGCGAAUAUUAAUACACUUCUCCAAUAGAUAUUUUUCUUGUAAUCCAGACACUAUCACCUCAAAAGAUGGAGUUCAUUGCCUCACCUGUGCGCUGAUGCUCCUCAACACGGAUCUGCACGGCCACAAUAUUGGAAAGAAGAUGACCUGCCAGGAGUUCAUUACAAAUCUUCAAGGGGUAAAUGAAGGCGGAGAUUUCUCCAAGGAUCUUCUAAAAGUCAAAUAGGAGGAAUUCCACUCAAAACGCAACAAGGUCGCCUUCCUCAGCACUGUGUCUGGCGCAGAAGAGAGAAAGCUUCAGGGAUUCGCAGUGCUGUGACUCAUCUGUGAGCUUCAGUUUUCAACUAUGGAUCUUCCGAGUCUAAUGCACUCUAGAAACUUCAUAGAAACAUUGACAUUUAAAAAACACUAAACUUUCCAAUUUUAAGAAUUUUACAUUUUCCCAUAACAAUAUACUUGGUAACUAAUUUUUACUUUUUUUUAAAUUUAUAUUUAGAAGUAGUGAGAGAUUCUGUAGUGUUUUGUUUGUCCUCUUAUUGUCUUUUUCAAAUAAAAGGAAUCCUGAUUGGAUAUUGUGAUCC